AUAUAAUAUAAUAUAAUAUAAUAUAAUAUAAAGUUCACUUGUGCAAGAAAAUGAAGCACUUAACACACCAGUACUUAACAGCUCAAAGCUCACAUCAUUUUGGAUACGGAAUGAAUUUUAUAUCCAUUGUACUGCGUUUAAUAGGCUACACUAAAACUUAUUUGAGAAUAUAUGCCUUAUAAACACAACCCAUUUCAGAUGAACAGAUUUAAAAUGAGAAAUGUAUUCAACAACAACAAAAAUGGCAUGUGAAAUAUGACUUUGUACUUUUUUUUCUUUUUUUUUUGGUGCGUUGUGAUUUAUUAAAACACCAUUGGGGAAGAUUCAAUUUGAUUACAGUUCUAUGAAAUCUAAAAUCGUACUGAGGUUUGGUUUGAUUCUGUUUUUCUGGUGUGAUUUCAGGAUCAUGGUUAAAAAAUGAAGCAAUAAAUAAAUAAAUAAAUAAAUAAAAAUCCAGAAACUGUUUACCCUGUGGAUUUCCCCUCCAUCCCUCCCCAGAUCUACAUUAUAUGAUUCACCAUCUCAGAUUGCUGCAUGGGAUUUUGUGAAAACGUUGUGCUUUUAUUUAUUUCAGUGAGUCACUUCAGCCGUUGUAUGUCACCACCUAGACGUCUGGACGGCAGAGAAUAUAUUGUCGUAAAGCGAUUUUUCUCCUGGACCAGAAUGGCUUUAAUCUGAUUAAUCUAGUCUAAUCAGACUUGCUUUCAAUGACUACAUUUACAUGGACAGCGGUAAUCUAAUUAUUGACUUUAUUCUGAAUAAGACAAUGUUGUGAUUAAGGUGUUUACAUGAGUUGCUUUUAGAAUAUUCCUUUCAUGUUCCUGUUUUACAUGUUAUAGAACAUAGAUGGAUUAACAGUACACGUCAUUACGUCACCGCGCCACGCCGUCCGACGUCCCUCCAGAAUUUCAUGUUUUAAUAUAGUUUGUCUUCGUUAUGGUACCGUAUACAGUUUUGGGUGUUCUUAUUUUUACGAAUGCUUCAAUUGCGGUUAAUUAUUUGUCAUGCUGUACGUGCUAAUAGGUGACUGCUUGAAGCCAUGGGCUGUGUCUGAAACCGCGUGUUUACCUACCACGCAGUUUUGGACGCAGCUGUGCUUUCUUGUUUGCUGUCAAACGGUUGAGCACUGACGUGUGUGUGUGUGUGUGUGUACGUGUCCUGUCACAAAAUGCGGUGAAAACUCCUACAUGACCUUAAUAGUGUGAUUAAGGUGUGUACAUGUCUGUAAUAUACAUUGAUAAUGCGACUAAAACAGGAAUACUCCACAGGUCUUAAUUUGAUUUGUGUUUACUUUGAGUAUGACUUUAAUCGGAUUAAGGUAAUUAAAAAUGGCUGUUUACAUGCUAGUUUCUUAAUCAGACUAUUGUCUUAAUCAGGUUAAUAUUGGAUUAUUGUUGUCCAUGUAAAUGUACUAAACAUACUGACUGUGUUUAACGAACCUCUAUGUUGAGCUAUUAUCAUUAGGAUGCAGUGUUCAAGAUAAUUUUAGCAUUUUAAUACCAAGUGAUGGUGUAUGAUCUUGUUAUGGGCACUUUAUCACCUUUUAGCUUGUUUGACCGGAGUUAUAUUGAUUUUAGUUGGUUUCCUAACAUUUCCACGAUGCAAAUUUGAUCACUUCCUGUAUUUGGGCCAAAAAACAACAUUCACUGGGACAACAUAACCACCUUUCUUUCUCAAGGGGGUCGAGACAUGAUGCCUUAAUUCAAGCUUGUGGUCCAGAUGAACUAGCUUUGUGUUGCAUGUUGAAAUGCAUCUUGGUCAAGUUAUUUUUAAAGAUGGUUUAUAAAUAAUUGAUAUCUUGGUUCUCUGUAGAUGCCUUUUGAACGUCCAGCAAUCCUUGUGGUAGUUACCCUCAAUGCUGGUCACAUUCUGGAGCUUUCAAAGUGUUUGGCUAUGGGGAGUAUGCUGAGGCUCGGACACGUACGGCAGCCAUGUUGAAUCAAGACUGUACAUUUUUUAAACACAGUGACACAUGGCAACUGCAGCAUGCAUGCCUCAGACACGUGAGGUUGGGAUGGGAGGUGGGAGUGAGGGCAGUACAAACCGGUAGGAGGAAGAAGAAUGGGAGGUUCUUGGUAUUCAGUGUAUUCCGUGGAGACCGGAAGCGGGCUUGUCUUGGUAUUCCACGGAGUUAUUACAUUUAGAAAAUCCGUCCUGGUUAGAAUUUUGAUGAACUUCACUGUAAGAGGAGUAAGCCUCAAAUGCCAGACAAAAACCACUUCUGCUGUAGCCAGAGCCGAAAAGACACAGUUCAGAGAUGAGAGAAACUGAGAGCCCAUAGAUCAGAUCAGGCCUGGGGGAUGCUGUUUUAGCGACUACUGACUGGACAAUAUCACUAUUUAUAGUUCUGUAAAUAGCCCUCAUGUGAUUGGUCUGGAAACACUACAGGCAAAUGGACAAAAAGACAAAGAACCCGUAACUGUUACUAUUAUUAGGUGCUCUCUUUGAAAGUGGAGCUUCAGCGUGUUGACUGCUAGAGAUGUGAGCCCUCAUGCAUGAAAGAAAAUGAUUUAAAAAAAAAAAAAAAAAACCAGGACACUUCACUAAUUCUCUUUGCUUCCUAACCUGAAGCUCUUAUCACCACUUGGAGGAUUUUAUAAAACAAAACAUUCAACCGAAGGUUAUGGAAUGAACACUGAAGAUGGGGAAAAGUUAAAAAUAAAAAAAUUUAAAUAAUGUAAAAAUAGUUAACAGUUUACAACUUUUAAACCAGUACAAAAUUCAAACCAGCAUCAAAUCCAGAAUUUGUAAUUAUUUAAUUAAAUUUUUUAAAGGCUAUAAAAAAAGAUGUAUUGUGACCUAUAUAAUUUAUCGCAGUGUCAGCCAGCCCUAAUUAUAAAUUGAGUAACAAAUGAGGGGAAAUAACGAGGUUUUUUUUUUUUUUUUUUUAAGUCGCUCUUUUAAAAGAGCAUCAUGCUGGUCAUAAGUAGAAUCAUUUACUUUCCUUAUAAAUCACUCAUUUUUAAAAAAUAAAAUUCUUUCUAAACUUCUACAUAGUAUAAAAAUACAGGCAUGUUGGUACGUGUGUGGCUAUGUCCUAAAUAUUGUGUUAAUGGAAAAACUGCAUAAGCACCUGUUAGCAUAAAUGGCUAAACCAUGUUUUAACAUGUAAUUUUAUACCUUCUGUUUUAGCCAGUAAUUUGGGGAGUGUAAAAUGAAAUAAGGCAAUCAUAGCCUGUAUACAAUUUAAAUGCUCAAUGUGGAUGAUGUGCUUGGCUGUGAUUUGGUAAGCGUUAGCAUAGCAUUCAUAACAGACAAUCUGUUAAAGGAAUGGGUUGACACAAAUUUUAUUUACAGUUUACACAGUUGAUUGGUUAACAGCUUUGCAGUGGUGCCAUGUAGUUAAUGGAGCUGACAAGGAAAUAAUUCUGUCUUACCCCAAAAAUAUUUUUACCAUUAAAUAUGUGCCCCAAAAAACAUUUUGACUUUGUAAUCAAAUUGUCAUUAAGUCAAAUGGCAAGGAGAUUGUAUUUACAAGUUUGAUUUACAAGUGGAUUUAUUGGCUUCAUUAUUUAACUUCCAAAAUUCUUGUACCUUGAAACUUGAGAUUUUUGGAAAACGGGCUUUAGAGGCAUGUUCUACAGUGUUGCUAACUGUAACACGACUGCUAAAUAGGCUCUUGAAUGGGGGGAGGGAGCGAGUUAAUUGUGCUAAGAAAAAAAAGCUAAUCUAAUUGUCCAAGAUGGCCGCUUCAUAGCAUGUGUUCUUCAGCUACACAGUUAAGUUUUGUUUAUAGUUUACCGUAAAGUCAUAUUGUAACAUUACUGACAUACGUUUAGCUCUGCCCUGACUCGUUGAGGGGAAAUCUCUCUCUCUCUCUCUCUCUCUCUCUCUCUCUCUCUCUCUCUCUCUCUCUCUCUCUCUCUCUCUCAUUCAUAUAUAUAAAAUUAUUAUAUAUACAUAUACAUAUAUACCUGUCGGUAUAUGUCUUAGUUUUGAAGCUGUGAUCUAAGAAACACCAAUAUCUCUGCCAUUGCAGAGGCAAAGUUCCUGGAACUUCUUAUAAGAAAUCGCUCCAUGUGAUACUUCUCUCAAUGUCAUACGCACAUUUCUUAUCAUUGACUCCCUUCCAUACAGACAGCAAUACACAAUGACUUCAUAAAAUUCUAAUUCUAAAAUUCUAAAAAGAUUCCUACUGGUCAGUGGAAAGGCUGCAUCAACCUUUCACUGUGCACAACAAGGGGAAAACCGCCUGCACGGCAACACUGACUUUCAGUCCAAAUUGUUGGGGAAAUUAGACAACACUCGCUGACUCAUCCACUGAAGGUAAAAAGUUUCAUUACAGAAAGAUGGUUAAUACAGGAUGGAAUAAAGCAGGAUGGAAUGAGAGCGCUCUGAAAUGCUUGUGCUGAACCACUACUAUAUAUAUGAAAUGCAGAGCAUGACAUAAUUCUGUGUACCGAUAAGAAGCAGUUUGAGGCAGUUCAAACAGACUUUGUUUCAGGGUCUUGGAAGAUGUGCAGAUGAACCUUGAACAGAAGAACAUGUUUGUGUCUCUAAGAUAAACUUUCUGUACUGAUCUCAGUGACAUGACAUGGCCGCCUUAGGCGUUCUCCUGAGAUGAACAGAAAAAGAACAAAACUAUUACAAAAUAAAAAUAAGUAAUUUCCCUCACAAUAUGCAGCAUUUCUCCCCUUAAUCUGAAGUACUUCAUGAGUUCUGCCAUUUUGUUUACUCCAAUUCUCCAAUUCUGUCUUGCUAACCUCCCUUUAUUGAAAUGGUCCUAAUGGAUUGGAUUAUAUUCCAGGAACCAGUUAUUACUUUUGCAGGCUAUAAUCUCCUUCCUCUUAAAAAUGAUGGAAUUUGAAUAUCUAGGCAGUGCUACUUUUAACAGCAACCGUUGCCAUGUUAUGUGGCUGACUAGCCGAGUUGUUAGCUGUAACAGUCACAAAGUGGAGUGGAGGAGGGUUAUGUAAUAGUAAAUCGGAUCAAAAUGGCCAUCUGGUUCACCAUGGUGGACGGCGUAUGUGAUUUAGAUUCCAGCGUGCUAUUUGUUAGCAUCGGCUAGCUGUUUAUUGAACCGGAAACCCAUUGGUGUUUUUGAGCAUAUGAACAAACCAUGUGAGGAACUUUAGAGGGUUUCCCUUUCCUUGUGUAGUGUUGUGGUGGCUGCCAUAGAAAGCCUGAUGCGUUCUGACAGCUGGCAGUGUAUUCAACUCUGUGUGUGUGUGUGUGAGAAGGUGUGUCUGAUGGAGUGAGAGAGCGACAGUCCGCUUUGUGAUUGGCUGUGCAGGGUAUAUAAAGGGUUGGAGCUUUAGAGUUUCCACAGUUCCUCGUGCUGUAGCUUUGAGUCGAGUGUAUUACUAGCUGUUUUAACCACAAAGGGUUUUUUUUGGUGGUUUUCAGUUACAUCCGUUAGUGUUUUUGGAUGUUUUUUUUUUUUUUUUUCUAACCCUGGAGGAAGUUUUCAAACUACAUAUCCUUUCAUUCUUUACAUCCUGUUUUGGCGAGAGUGGUAGUUGCAAUCAGGUUGGUCAGAUACUGGAUAUGUAGAUGAGUACCUCCCCCCCCGCUUUCACCUCCUGUACACUCUUUUCCUAUAUCCAGAGAUUUUAAAAGACUUUGAGACUCUAUAACACCUUUUCCAGAUUGAAGCGGGACUUAUUCUUUUCUUUUUCUUUUCCUCUUGUCUACCAACUCCCCAAAACCUCUAAACCUGCAAACUUUAUUGGAUCCUUGAACUUCUGGCUCGCUUUCCCGUUAAAUCCGUAGAACACUGUAAAAUGGUGCAUGUAGUUAAGAAGACGUAGCCAUGCCUCGGUAUGUGUGUUUCUCUGCAGUGCUUCAAUCACUGCUCAGAUCAUGCGCAAAUAUGCUUAUGUAAGAAGUGUUGCACCCCUUAUAUUUAGUGCUGUGGAUGUGGGCCAGUUAGUUUGUGCCCAAACUAAGACCACAUGGAAGUCAGACAUGCAGGCACGUGGAUCUGCUUCUCUGCAGGAGUCCAGGAUCAGCUUUAGUCUAGUUUGACAAUUUUGCUCAAGGCUAGAGGUGUCCGUUUUCUCGAUCCAUGACUUGUAUAACCCGACCAGUGCCGAGAGCUCAGAUCUUUUAGAGAGACACUCCGUGGCUGUUCCAGCUCCAUACUGUUCAGAACCAACAGACAUGAUUAUCAGACUGGGACGCCUGACUCCUGGAUACUUCCGUCUCCUGCAGAGGCAGGUAGCUGGUGAGAUUCAGACCCAGCCUCAGGAUGGCUCCCUUAACCAAAUUGCCAUGAUGCUUGCCAUUAUGGGUCUUGGCCUGUCCUACUACAGUGCCAAGCAGAUGACCGAGAAGGUGCAGCAUAGCCCGGUGCCCUGAACACAACCAUGACCUCUGAUCCAUUUGACUCCCUGCGGCGGAACAAAAGCCAAAUCGGAGAUGGCGGGUUGGAAGAAGACCUUAUCCAGGACUUCAUGUACACUACUUCACCAGAAGCCUGGAUGUUCUGAGUUUAGUCGGCAUGAGACGAGUACAGGGUUUUUAGCAAGCAAUGUCAACAAAAAAAUAGAGUUCAGAUAUGACCUGUGUCUUGAUAGUUGCACUGGUACAUUCAUCAGGGUCCUUUAAUACCUCUGAGGCCAAAAUUUUGGCUUAUCUUCAGUGAUUCCUAUUUAAAGGGAAUGAGCCAGUCACUGGUACUUUGGUGUAGAAUAUAUGCCCUUUUAAAGGGAAACCCUCUGCCUUCUGUAUCAAGCAACUGUUAAACGCAGGUCACUAAAAAACUAGGGAUAUAUAUAUAUAUAUUUUUUUUAUUAUUAUUUUUGUGAAAAGCUGCUUAAAUGGAGACUAGGCAUCGCAGGAAUCCUUCAAACUCGCACUGGAAGAGCAGUACCAAACUACACUAUAUGAAAUUAAAGGCCCAUUCGGUGUUACACACAGAUUUAUUGUACUGUUCUAAGUAGCCAUGUUUUUGUGACGUUUUUGAGCAAAGACCUUAAAUGUUAAAGGGAUGUUAACAAGUGCAUGUGUGUUGAGAUUUUAAAGAAUCCAAUAUGUGAUCUUGUCAAGUGAUUUUUAUAUGAAUGUAUGUUGAUUAUUUAAAAUUGGAUUAAAUAAAGCUGUGAACAUUUUUGAACAAGUCAUGGACUGUGAUGUAUUGACUGAAAAGUUAGAAUUUCUAGUACGAUAUUUUCUCCCUCAUGUCCAUUCCAAUCUUCCCUAUUGCGUGAUCUUGACCGCAUAUCUGCAAAUCAAAGCACAUGAUGGGAGAUUCCUGGGAUAUAUACUAACUUAUGCUGCAUAAAUAUAUUAAAUCUGUUGCUACACUUGAAAAUCCCCAGACUGGCCUGUUUGACAGGAAGUGGAUUAAAAGGCUUUGUGGAUAGAAUUUGUUUCUGCUGGUCAGAUGCAAGUUUAUUAAAUUCAGUUUCUGUGCUUUAGGUAAAACGAGUCAGCUGACAGUUCUGCUUCUCAUAAGAUCUGGCUCAGCAAAAUCAUUUCCUGUAUCCCCACUGAAGCAUGCCAUCUGCUAAGCAGGAAGUGGUCAUGCGUGCAGAUGGGAACUUCCUCUGUAUGCUGGCCUAGUAGUAAUAUAGCAACUGAAUAGUGUGCAGAAACUGUGAUUGGAAACUCUGGCCCAAGUUGAUUGAUUAAAUCAGGUAUGUUUGCCUAGGAGGAAAAAGUGCAGUGUUGUGGUCUGCUGUAUGUGUUUGUGCCUUGGAUGUGCCCUGAUUUCACACUCGCAAAUGCCACGGUGCUGAAGUUGUGCCAAGUUUGUCUUAUGCAACCUUUGCAUUUUGCUUAUGGGACCAGUUUGGCUAGUUUUUUUUUUGUUGUUUUUAAGUCCUGACUAUCAGUAAUCGCCAAAAUGCAGAUUAUACUAUUUGUAUUUUCCAUAAAUCAUAUUUCUUUUAGUCAGAAAAUGGUGAUUCUGCAGUUUGUUUCUAUUCCUUUUUUAAUGCAGCAAACACUGCUGUAUGGAAACUUAAGGGAAGUCUGAGUUGGAAAUCCUGCACCAGAGGAUUGGUACAAACUUUGCUGGGGUGUUCAGUCUUAUUCGGAAAGGGCUGGUGUGGGUACAGGUUUUCGAUCCGAGCCACAGCGGAGUCUACGGAAAGUCAAGCUCAACUGGUGGAAUCAGGUGUGCGCUUGAUUGGAAUAUGAACCUGUACGCACAACGGCCCUUUGUGGAUAUGAUUGGACACCCUGGUCCAAGGACUUAACUACCACUUUACCAAAAAUUGACCUAUAAUAUCCACCAAAGGCCUACAGUGUGCUUACAGGUUUUCAUUCUAACCAUGUACAAGUAACACCAGAUAGUUGAAUGAAGUCUAAGCUCACCUGAGUACACAGGUGGAAUCAGGAGUGGUUUGUCCUGAUUGUUUGGAAUGAAAACCUGCAGUCACACUGGCAUUUUACAGAACCUGGGCUUUGUGUCAAGCACUUAAAUAAGAACUGAGUGGUUCCUUAUUUCCUGGUGUGAGCUCGGGGUUACGUUUGAUUAGUUCGCAGAGCAACCCUUGCUGGAAAAAUAUCUGCAGUGUGUAAAGACUUGUGCCCCCAGUAUAUUGUGUAUAAUAAUAGGAAGAUUGUCUAAGGUUUAUUUUGAAAUCUGAAGUGAUUUGGUUGGUCGGUGAGCUCCUUUAGCUUGAAAAAGACAGACUUUCACAGGGCUAUGGGAGUGUGAGGAUCCUUGCAGAUCUGAUAGCCUAAAAAUACUGAAAGGAAACAAUGGUUGGUUGGCGUUAAAGAGGCAUCAUACACAAAACCCUUUAAAGUCUUUUUAAUUUCCUCUCAGUCUGUAUGGCUGGAUCAUACUAGUGCAUUUAGAUUAUUUGUGCAUAGUGAAGAUGUCGUGCAUGAUGCUCCCUCCACACAUGGCGGAUGCUGCUGGGUAUUUUGCUCCCUCCCAAGCUGUGCUGAUUCACUUGUGGAAGAUGUGAUGCACCCUGACAGGGCAGAACAAUGUCUGCUUAAAUGUGAACCUCUCCCACCAGUAUGCAUCACUGGGCAAUUCGACCAAAAAAAGAUUCAGGCUGCAAAGGCAAGUUCAGGACACGAGAGCCGUGCUCUCAUUGGCUGGUGUGAUCACGUGUCAGGAAGUCAUCACAAUUCUGAGCCAUAGAGACAAAGCGAAGGGAUCACGCCAGAGAUAUGGAAGGGAUAGAGACAGUACAACAUGUCUGUUUUUAACACAAAAGCAUUGAUGGAUGAAAAAGGAUCUAGGCUUACUAUGUACUCAGCCGUUUAUCUUCUCAGUUUAGAUAACUGGAUCAGUAAUGUGCUUGAAGUAUGUUUUUUUUUUUUUUUUUUUUUUUUUAAACUGUGCAAGUUGCGUAUCACAAUAUACACACAAUCUAAUCCUUUAACAUUCAACAGUGGUAAUGUCCCAAUGUUUCAACACCGUGUGUCAGAGCACUGUUUCGAGUUAAGGAAUGUAUUCAUUAAUCGAUUUCCCUUCUUAGAUUUUAUAUGAAGAAGGUUUAUAUUCAUUUUUAAUAUUAAUUUAGAAGCUUUCUAUUCAUUUUGUGAAAGACAUUAUUCAAAACAAUUUCCUCUUUUAUUAGUUUGUUGUUACAUUGAGAUGCCUAAACAGAGUGCAAUUACAAUAUCCAUGUACCUUUUUAUAAUCUUUCAUAUUGCUGCUAAAACUGUGAGAUCAAAAUGUUAGUGAAUAGAGGUGGCUUAGCGGUUAGCACGUUCGCCUCACAUCUCCAGGGUUGGGGGUUUGAUUCCUGCCGCUGCCCUGUAUGUGCGGAGUUUGCAUGUUCUCCCUGUUGUGCACGGGUUUCCUCCCCCAGUUCAAAGACAUGCAUGGUAGGCUGAUUGGCAUGUCCAAGGUUUCCAAAGUGUAUGAAUGGGUGUGUGAUUGCGCCCUGUGAUAGAUUGGCACCCCGCCUUGUGCCCGAUGAUCCCUAGUAUAAGUUCCAGGUCCCCACGACCCUGA
ensembl:lncRNA